ACAACUUAAAUUAAUUUUUACUGAUAGUAGCUUUAAGGUGAAGGUUGCUCGAGAUCAUAAUAAUAAGCUUGGCUCCCGCUCUAAUAACCCUCUCAACCACCCACUCAAAACAAACAAAUCAGACGGCGCACAUGUAGUGUGACUUGGUCAAAUAAACUAACAAAAACGUUCCAAAAUGAGCUGUAUUAAAAUAGCAGUUGUACCUUUGAAUUUUGGCACACAUAUGAUUUAUUGCAUAUGCCCACCAACACAAUUUGUUCUUAUAAAAUAUUUUUUAAUUUAUUUAAAUCCCUACUUUGCCCAAUAUUUUCACCAAUUAUCCCAUUUUGCACCACUUUAUUUACGUUUUUGUUGACAACUCUCUCCUCUCUUCUCUCGUACUGUUUCUCUCUGACCGUAGAAAACUACCGUGAAUGGGGUGACAUUAAUUGAUGUAAUUUCAACUCAUAAACAGCGAACGAUUGUUCUGUUAUCUAUUGAAAUCACAUUAUCAGUAUGAUAUUUAAAAUACUUAAAAGAUUAACAAAAUAACAGCCUUGUUUCGUGAUAAACAUGAACUGCGGUUUAAUCAAUUUUACCGUACGUUGAACAAUACCACUCAGUUUAACGGUACGCUUUUCCGUUUUAGCGAACCGCGAUGUAAAUUGAUCCGGGUUUUCGACCACAAAAGUGGAAAACGCGUAAGUUUUCCGCGAUAAACGGUAGGUCAGGCGGAAGUGCGGACAAUUUCACGUAAUCGAUCAACUUAUCACAGUGCUGUGUUGUGUAGAAGACUGUUAAAAACGAGGUUAAAAAGUGAUUUGAAAAUAAGGGUGACGCGCUUGUCGAAGAAGAAAAAGUGCAGUGUGUGCUACAUUUUGGCACGAAAUUGUGAAAAUAUUGUGAAAAUUGCAAAGUAGUUCUUCCUGACGGAUGAAAUAUAUAGUGUUCUACCACAAGUAGCAACCUGAGUGCAAUUUGAGAAGGUAAGCAAGUAUAUUUUUGAGAAAUUGUUCGCUAACUUCCGCGCUUCUCGAUGACUAUGGUGAGGGGAGGGAGGUAUAAGGGAGAGAGUGGCGGCCAUACUCGCUGCCAUUUUGUAACCCCUGCAACUAUUUUUUUAUAACUACAGCUCUUUUGUCCACUAGGGUACUACGUGAGCGAUUCCAAUUGGACGCUGCACUUCCACGUUGUACAGCGCCUAAAUGUAUUCUAUUCUACUUAUUCUACUGUAUUGAACUGGUUGCCUUUGUGCUUCUUUCAUUCUUCUACCCUGUCCAUGGUAGAAUGAUGAGCACGAUAAUGCUGAUGUGUGGCUGCUGUUUCUUUUCCAGUCCAAUUGGGGGUCCAUUAUGAGUUGCGGUUCGCCAAUAUCCAAAUUCCGGGUCCGUUAGAGCUAUAUGCUCCGAAGAGGGUCAAGUGCCAGCUACUCUCGGGGGGAAGAGCAGCUGACGAAAAAUUGCAAGUGCCGGGGCUGGGUUCGAACCCAUGACCAUCCGCUUAUGAAGCGAAGGUGUGCACCACUGCGCCGCGGGCCCCGACGUCCCCUGCAACUAUGUCCUUAAAUUAUUAUAGAACUAUUGAAAAAUAAUCGAAUCAAUUAGUCACUAAUAUAGCUAAUGUUCACUUACUGUA